rnacentral:rRNA from 1 species
UUCUAAGGGCGUUGAAGCAUGAUCGCAAGGACAUGUGGAGCGCUUAGAAGUGAGAAUGCCGGUGUGAGUAGCGAAAGACGGGUGAGAAUCCCGUCCACCGAUUGACUAAGGUUUCCAGAGGAAGGCUCGUCCGCUCUGGGUUAGUCGGGUCCUAAGCUGAGGCCGACAGGCGUAGGCGAUGGAUAACAGGUUGAUAUUCCUGUACCACCAUUAUUCGUUUUAAGCGAUGGGGGGACGCAGUAGGAUAGGCGAAGCGUGCUGUUGGAGUGCACGUCCAAGCAGUGAGAUUGAGUGUUAGGCAAAUCCGGCACUCUUAAGAUUGAGCUGUGAUGGGGAGAGGAACUUGUUCCUCGAGUCGUUGAUUUCACACUGCCGAGAAAAGCCUCUAGCUAGAAUAACGGUGCCCGUACCGCAAACCGACACAGGUAGUCAAGAUGAGAAUUCUAAGGUGAGCGAGCGAACUCUCGUUAAGGAACUCGGCAAAAUGACCCCGUAACUUCGGGAGAAGGGGUGCUCUUUGAGGUUCACGCUUCGAAGAGCCGCAGUGAAUAGGCCCAAGCGACUGUUUAUCAAAAACACAGGUCUCUGCUAAACCGUAAGGUGACGUAUAGGGGCUGACGCCUGCCCGGUGCUGGAAGGUUAAGAGGAGUGGUUAGCGCAAGCGAAGCUACGAAUCGAAGCCCCAGUAAACGGCGGCCGUAACUAUAACGGUCCUAAGGUAGCGAAAUUCCUUGUCGGGUAAGUUCCGACCCGCACGAAAGGCGUAACGAUUUGGGCACUGUCUCAACGAGAGACUCGGUGAAAUCAUAGUACCGGUGAAGAUGCCGGUUACCCGCGACAGGACGGAAAGACCCCGUGGAGCUUUACUGUAGCCUGAUAUUGAAAUUCGGUACAGUUUGUACAGGAUAGGUAGGAGCCUUAGAAGCGUGAGCGCUAGCUUACGUGGAGGCAUUGGUGGGAUACUACCCUAAUUGUAUUGGAUUUCUAACCCGCAGCACUUAUCGUGCUGGGAGACAGUGUCAGGCGGGCAGUUUGACUGGGGCGGUCGCCUCCUAAAGAGUAACGGAGGCGCUCAAAGGUUCCCUCAGAAUGGUUGGAAAUCAUUCAUAGAGUGUAAAGGCAUAAGGGAGCUUGACUGCGAGACCUACAAGUCGAGCAGGGUCGAAAGACGGACUUAGUGAUCCGGUGGUUCCGCAUGGAAGGGCCAUCGCUCAACGGAUAAAAGCUACCCCGGGGAUAACAGGCUUAUCUCCCCCAAGAGUUCACAUCGACGGGGAGGUUUGGCACCUCGAUGUCGGCUCAUCGCAUCCUGGGGCUGUAGUCGGUCCCAAGGGUUGGGCUGUUCGCCCAUUAAAGCGGUACGCGAGCUGGGUUCAGAACGUCGUGAGACAGUUCGGUCCCUAUCCGUCGUGGGCGUAGGAAAUUUGAGAGGAGCUGUCCUUAGUACGAGAGGACCGGGAUGGACAUACCUCUGGUGUACCAGUUGUCGUGCCAACGGCAUAGCUGGGUAGCUAUGUAUGGACGGGAUAAGUGCUGAAAGCAUCUAAGCAUGAAGCCCCCCUCGAGAUGAGAUUUCCCAACUUCGGUUAUAAGAUCCCUCAAAGAUGAUGAGGUGAAUAGGUUCGAGGUGGAAGCGUAGCGAUACGUGGAGCUGACGAAUACUAAUCGAUCGAAGACUUAAUCAAUAU